rnacentral:rRNA from 1 species
AACGAACGCUGGCGGCAGGCUUAACACAUGCAAGUCGAACGCCCGAGCAAUCGGGAGUGGCAGACGGGUGAGUAACACGUGGGAACAUACCCUUCGGUUCGGAACAACUCGGGGAAACCCGAGCUAAUACCGGAUGAGCGCGAGAGCGGAAAGAUUUAUCGCCGAAGGAUUGGCCCGCGUCCGAUUAGCUAGUUGGUGAGGUAACGGCUCACCAAGGCGACGAUCGGUAGCUGGUCUGAGAGGAUGGCCAGCCACAUUGGGACUGAGACACGGCCCAAACUCCUACGGGAGGCAGCAGUGGGGAAUAUUGGACAAUGGGCGCAAGCCUGAUCCAGCCAUGCCGCGUGAGUGAUGACGGCCUUAGGGUUGUAAAGCUCUUUCGCACGCGACGAUAAUGACGGUAGCGUGAGAAGAAGCCCCGGCUAACUUCGUGCCAGCCGCCGCCGUAACAC